AGCAGGUGGGAAGUUCAGUGGAGAGCUCGGCCCUGAUCCAUUUUUGCACAAGUCACCUUGGACUGCAGUUUUUGUGUGCAGUGAUUCAUGAAGAAAUAUUAGUCGUUCAGGAAGCAAGUAAGAAAUAAUGCAGCGGAGAGCAAAGUCCCAUCUCAAUAUGACUGCUUAUACAAAACAAAAACAGAAUGUUUGACUCCCCUCCUUAUUGAAUCGGAAGAAAAAUCUACUCCUGCUGCAGCUGUUUAGUGUGUGAUUGGUUACUUUUCUGAAUUUUGUUUUUUUAAAUAGUGUUUUCUACAGAUUUUUCUGGGUAGUGUAUUGUUUGCUGAAUGAAGGCUAUCCCUGGUGUAAAGAAUUUACCUCCACAUAACACCCUAAAGAGAAUGUAAUAUUUAAAAAGUGUGAAAUAAAAUAUAUGAUUUUGUUUUUAAGCUCUGUAGAGAAUGUAAAAUAUGAUAAGAAUUUGAUGAACCACAACUAUCUGUGUUUCAUUUGGAACUGCAUCUGUUAAUAGGCCUACACAGGUAGAUGUAAUGCAGUCUAACUUUUCAUACUCCAAAAAGAUUUUCCUCAGGGAAGGGGAACACCAGCCUUCACAUCAAGAUCCAGGUAUAAAUCUAACUCAGGGACAGGUAAUGAAGGAAUUCUGCCACCCAUUUUCAUUGGCUAUUUGCAGUAGCUUUGCCUUCUUUCUCUUUCAACGUUUGGGCAUUGUGCUUAUACAGAGACUGGACUUAUAGAUUGUGAUGGUUUUGUCCAGUGCACAGUAAAACCUGAUCUCGGUGGAGAAUCAUAGGUUGUGUGAAAGAAGGAAGAUUUUGAAAGCUGAGCAAUAUUAACGGAUCAAUUUAGGAAAACCAUGCUCGCCUGACAGUCGCAUCUAUAGAUCAGCUCUAUAUCCUGAAGCAUGACACGCUGUAAUGUUGAUGUUUACUUGGUAUUGCUGGUAUUGCAGGUGUAUAAACCUGUACCCACAAAUGGGCAUUGCUGCAUAAUUGGCUUGUGCAUCCACUUACCCGAAUAUUGGCAUUUUUACAGUGUUCACUAUUGCCUUGACAAAGCACUAAAAAUGCCAGAUGGCAGAAUGAAAUAUUCACCUCGUGCUAUUGUCUCUUCUAGUUCAUCAAUGCAAGGAAAUAUUUUUAUAAACCAGCAUCUGCGGUUCCUUGUUUCUAAAUUGUUGCCCAAUAUUGGCACCCGGAUUUUCUUGGACAACGGUAAAAAUAAAAACGCACACAUUGUUAGAUGGAAGUUAUGCUUUGGAGAAUAUUUUCAGAGUAUGAUAUUGAAGUGAUACCUGUGUAGGCCAUUUGAAACAAAUGCAGUUUUUUAAUUUUUUGUUGUGUUUUCAUUGAAAUUUCCCAGUUCUCCCUCAUUUUGUUCCGUCACGUUUAGUUCUUGACCCCUUUUCUCUGAAUGUUGCCAUUUGGAUUUUAACACCUGUCUGGCCUUUUGCCGCCAUGCAGGUUUUAUUAGCAUUUGUAAACUAGUGCCCUCAAUGCAGAAGUACAAAAAGAGGUUUCCCUUCCGGUUCUCAGCAAAUAAAACGGAAAGCUUAGUGAGGAUUUGCAUUGAAAUUUCCAGUGCUUGUUGAUACAAGCGUCGCCAUGGUUGCUGCAUGUGUUAAUGCCUGGCUACUUGCAGCUAAUUUCCAAAUCUCAGCAGGUAAUUUGAGGAUAGUGUAUCGAAAAAUAUGGAUGGAAAAAUGCAAAUCAAAGGUUGAAAUAUUUUCUUCAUGCAUGAAUGAUUUGAAUACGCAACACUU